rnacentral:rRNA from 1 species
UUACCAUGCAGUCGAGCGGGGGAAGGUAGCUUGCUACCGGACCUAGCGGCGGACGGGUGAGUAAUGCUUAGGAAUCUGCCUAUUAGUGGGGGACAACAUCUCGAAAGGGAUGCUAAUACCGCAUACGUCCUACGGGAGAAAGCAGGGGAUCUUCGGACCUUGCGCUAAUAGAUGAGCCUAAGUCGGAUUAGCUAGUUGGUGGGGUAAAGGCCUACCAAGGCGACGAUCUGUAGCGGGUCUGAGAGGAUGAUCCGCCACACUGGGACUGAGACACGGCCCAGACUCCUACGGGAGGCAGCAGUGGGGAAUAUUGGACAAUGGGGGGAACCCUGAUCCAGCCAUGCCGCGUGUGUGAAGAAGGCCUUAUGGUUGUAAAGCACUUUAAGCGAGGAGGAGGCUACUUUAGUUAAUACCUAGAGAUAGUGGACGUUACUCGCAGAAUAACCACCGGCUAACUCUGUGCCAGCAGCCGCGGUAAUACAGAGGGUGCGAGCGUUAAUCGGAUUUACUGGGCGUAAAGCGUGCGUAGGCGGCUUAUUAA